ACCCGCUGAACUUAAGCAUAUCAAUAAGCGGAGGAAAAGAAACCAACAGGGAUUGCCCCAGUAACGGCGAGUGAAGCGGCAACAGCUCAAAUUUGAAAUCUGGCCCCCAGGGUCCGAGUUGUAAUUUGCAGAGGAUGAUUUUGGCGAGGUGCCUUCCGAGUUCCCUGGAACGGGACGCCACAGAGGGUGAGAGCCCCGUCUGGUUGGACGCCGAGCCUAUGUAAAUCUCCUUCGACGAGUCGAGUAGUUUGGGAAUGCUGCUCUAAAUGGGAGGUAUAUGUCUUCUAAAGCUAAAUAUUGGCCAGAGACCGAUAGCGCACAAGUAGAGUGAUCGAAAGAUGAAAAGCACUUUGAAAAGAGGGUUAAAUAGUACGUGAAAUUGUUGAAAGGGAAGCGCUCAUGACCAGACUUGGGCCCGGUGAAUCAUCCAGCGUUCUCGCUGGUGCACUUUGCCGGGCUCAGGCCAGCAUCAGUUUGCCCCGGGGGAUAAAGGCUUUGGGAAUGUGGCUCCUCCGGGAGUGUUAUAGCCCAUUGCAUAAUAUCCUGGGGCGGACUGAGGUUCGCGCAUCUGCAAGGAUGCUGGCGUAAUGGUCAUCAGCGACCCGUCUUGAAACACGGACCAAGGAGUCGUCUUCGUAUGCGAGUGUUCGGGUGUAAAACCCCUACGCGUAAUGAAAGUGAACGCAGGUGAGAGCUUCGGCGCAUCAUCGACCGAUCCUGAUGUUCUCGGAUGGAUUUGAGUAAGAGCAUACGGGGCCGGACCCGAAAGAAGGUGAACUAUGCCUGUAUAGGGUGAAGCCAGAGGAAACUCUGGUGGAGGCUCGCAGCGGUUCUGACGUGCAAAUCGAUCGUCAAA
rnacentral:rRNA from 1 species